CCGGCGCACGGGUGAGUAACGCGUAUGCAACCUGCCCGAUACCGGGGUAUAGCCCAUGGAGACGUGGAUUAACACCCCAUAGUACUUUUAUCCUGCAUGGGAUGUGAGUUAAAUGUUCAAGGUAUCGGAUGGGCAUGCGUCCUAUUAGUUAGUUGGCGGGGUAACAGCCCACCAAGACGAUGAUAGGUAGGGGUUCUGAGAGGAAGGUCCCCCACAUUGGAACUGAGACACGGUCCAA
rnacentral:rRNA from 1 species